GGGUUGUGAGGUUAAGCGACUAAGCGUACACGGUGGAUGCCCUGGCAGUCAGAGGCGAUGAAGGACGUGCUAAUCUGCGAAAAGCGUCGGUAAGGUGAUAUGAACCGUUACAGCCGGCGAUGUCCGAAUGGGGAAACCCAGUGCAAUUCGUUGCACUAUCGUUAACUGAAUACAUAGGUUAACGAGGCGAACCGGGGGAACUGAAACAUCUAAGUACCCCGAGGAAAAGAAAUCAACCGAGAUUCCCCCAGUAGCGGCGAGCGAACGGGGAGCAGCCCAGAGUCUGAAUCAGCUUGUGUGUUAGUGGAACGGUCUGGAAAGUCCGACGGUACAGGGUGAUAGUCCCGUACACCAAAAUGCACAGGUUGUGAACUCGAAGAGUAGGGCGGGACACGUGGUAUCCUGUCUGAAUAUGGGGGGACCAUCCUCCAAGGCUAAAUACUCCUGACUGACCGAUAGUGAACCAGUACCGUGAGGGAAAGGCGAAAAGAACCCCGGCGAGGGGAGUGAAAAAGAACCUGAAACCGUGUACGUACAAGCAGUGGGAGCACCUUCGGGUGUGACUGCGUACCUUUUGUAUAAUGGGUCAGCGACUUAUAUUCUGUAGCAAGGUUAACCGUAUAGGGGAGCCGCAGGGAAACCGAGUCUUAACUGGGCGUUAAGUUGCAGGGUAUAGACCCGAAACCCGGUGAUCUAGCCAUGGGCAGGUUGAAGGUUGGGUAACACUAACUGGAGGACCGAACCGACUAAUGUUGAAAAAUUAGCGGAUGACUUGUGGCUGGGGGUGAAAGGCCAAUCAAACCGGGAGAUAGCUGGUUCUCCCCGAAAGCUAUUUAGGUAGCGCCUCGUGAACUCAUCUUCGGGGGUAGAGCACUGUUUCGGCUAGGGGUCAUCCCGACUUACCAACCCGAUGCAAACUACGAAUACCGAAGAAUGUUAUCACGGGAGACACACGGCGGGUGCUAACGUCCGUCGUGAAGAGGGAAACAACCCAGACCGCCAGCUAAGGUCCCAAAGUCAUGGUUAAGUGGGAAACGAUGUGGGAAGGCACAGACAGCCAGGAUGUUGGCUUAGAAGCAGCCAUCAUUUAAAGAAAGCGUAAUAGCUCACUGGUCGAGUCGGCCUGCGCGGAAGAUGUAACGGGGCUAAACCAUGCACCGAAGCUGCGGCAGCGACACUAUGUGUUGUUGGGUAGGGGAGCGUUCUGUAAGCCUGCGAAGGUGUGCUGUGAGGCAUGCUGGAGGUAUCAGAAGUGCGAAUGCUGACAUAAGUAACGAUAAAGCGGGUGAAAAGCCCGCUCGCCGGAAGACCAAGGGUUCCUGUCCAACGUUAAUCGGGGCAGGGUGAGUCGACCCCUAAGGCGAGGCCGAAAGGCGUAGUCGAUGGGAAACAGGUUAAUAUUCCUGUACUUGGUGUUACUGCGAAGGGGGACGGAGAAGGCUAUGUUAGCCGGGCGACGGUUGUCCCGGUUUAAGCAUGUAGGCUGGUUAUCCAGGCAAAUCCGGAUAAUCAAGGCUGAGGUGUGAUGACGAGGCACUACGGUGCUGAAGUAACAAAUGCCCUGCUUCCAGGAAAAGCCUCUAAGCAUCAGGUAACAUCAAAUCGUACCCCAAACCGACACAGGUGGUCAGGUAGAGAAUACCAAGGCGCUUGAGAGAACUCGGGUGAAGGAACUAGGCAAAAUGGUGCCGUAACUUCGGGAGAAGGCACGCUGGUGUGUAGGUGAAGUCCCUGCGGAUGGAGCUGAGACCAGUCGAAGAUACCAGCUGGCUGCAACUGUUUAUUAAAAACACAGCACUGUGCAAACACGAAAGUGGACGUAUACGGUGUGACGCCUGCCCGGUGCCGGAAGGUUAAUUGAUGGGGUUAUCCGUAAGGAGAAGCUCUUGAUCGAAGCCCCGGUAAACGGCGGCCGUAACUAUAACGGUCCUAAGGUAGCGAAAUUCCUUGUCGGGUAAGUUCCGACCUGCACGAAUGGCGUAAUGAUGGCCAGGCUGUCUCCACCCGAGACUCAGUGAAAUUGAACUCGCUGUGAAGAUGCAGUGUACCCGCGGCAAGACGGAAAGACCCCGUGAACCUUUACUAUAGCUUGACACUGAACAUUGAGCCUUGAUGUGUAGGAUAGGUGGGAGGCUUUGAAGCGUGGACGCCAGUCUGCGUGGAGCCAACCUUGAAAUACCACCCUUUAAUGUUUGAUGUUCUAACGUUGGCCCCUGACCGGGGUUGCGGACAGUGUCUGGUGGGUAGUUUGACUGGGGCGGUCUCCUCCCAAAGCGUAACGGAGGAGCACGAAGGUUAGCUAAUCCUGGUCGGACAUCAGGAGGUUAGUGCAAUGGCAUAAGCUAGCUUGACUGCGAGCGUGACGGCGCGAGCAGGUGCGAAAGCAGGUCAUAGUGAUCCGGUGGUUCUGAAUGGAAGGGCCAUCGCUCAACGGAUAAAAGGUACUCCGGGGAUAACAGGCUGAUACCGCCCAAGAGUUCAUAUCGACGGCGGUGUUUGGCACCUCGAUGUCGGCUCAUCACAUCCUGGGGCUGAAGUAGGUCCCAAGGGUAUGGCUGUUCGCCAUUUAAAGUGGUACGCGAGCUGGGUUUAGAACGUCGUGAGACAGUUCGGUCCCUAUCUGCCGUGGGCGCUGGAGAAUUGAGGGGGCUGCUCCUAGUACGAGAGGACCGGAGUGGACGCAUCACUGGUGUUCGGGUUGUCAUGCCAAUGGCACUGCCCGGUAGCUAAAUGCGGAAGAGAUAAGUGCUGAAAGCAUCUAAGCACGAAACUUGCCCCGAGAUGAGUUCUCCCUGAGACUAUAAGUCUCCUGAAGGAACGUUAAAGACGAUGACGUUGAUAGGCCGGGUGUGUAAGCGCAGCGAUGCGUUGAGCUAACCGGUACUAAUGAACCGUGAGGCUUAACCUUACAACGCCGAAG
rnacentral:rRNA from 1 species